GGCUGUGCAUCACUUCAUCCCAGCCGUGCAUCGCUCCAUCCCAGCCGUGAGCCGCUCCGGCCUGGCUGUAUACUGCUUUAUCCAUGCUGUGCAUCUCUCCAUCCCGGUCCUGGAGCACCACCUCUCCACGGCGGCUCAUGUCAGGGGACAGGAGCUGGCAGCGGCCAGGGUCACGGGUGAGCCAUUCCCACGCUGCGGCAGGGGUCCAGGCGUGGGCACGGUCUCAGGGCAACUGAGAUACUUUCUCCGUUGCACCAGAGAAAAGAAGUGAAAUUGUAAUACCCUCUUGUGAAACCGACAUCAAAUCAAGGCCAAAGGGGAAGCACGAACCCUUCUGGGGAUAAGAAAAGCUGUAACCCGUAGCCCAUCACCACCUCAUUGCCCGGCCACAUGAUGCUCAGAUUCCAGCUGCUUCCAGGGCCGUGGGCUGCAACCUCCGGCAGGUAAAAACCCUGGGAAGUGGUUGGAGUAUUCACGCAACACCUGGAAUUUUUCAUGUCCAACUGCAAAAUGAGCAGAGAAAAAAGGGGGAGGCGAGCGUGGCUGAAAUGCAGCGGCUGGUGACAGGAUGCAGCCGGGGCUGCUGGCCUGGGACGGUCACUGCAAGGGGAUGAAUUUCUGCAAAAACUCUUCAGCAACCGGAGGGGCCGCUACAAGUGACCACAAACGUGCUGGAAACAGAGUUUUCUGCUUCUCCGUCCCCCGUGCACAGGCACAGCCGUCUCACCGCUGUCUUUUUGCAGGCUGGCUAAGGCUCCCCCAGCCCCAGGACAGCACCAGUAACCCCCUUCCCACCCCCUGGCAGGAUUUGACCACCUUGGGUGCUGUUCAGCCCAGCGAGCCGGGGCCAGAGGUUGCCUAAUCUCCCUCUUGUGAUCUCCAUCUCUUUUUUUCCCCCCCUCCGUUCCAGCGCCGGCGCGAUGCAACCGCCCCAAGGACGUGGCCAACGCGCACAUCGACGUGGGCAACAACACGCUGCUCAACACCCGCCUGCGCUACACCUGCAACCCGGGCUACAAGCGCAAAGCCGGUACCUCCAGCCUCAUCCAGUGCAUCCUCCGCGACGGUUCCACUGAGCCCGACUGGACCCACACCACGCUGCAAUGCAUCCGGGACCCGGCUCUACCUCCGCAAACCCCCAGCCCCGAGCUCCCGACCGUGCCGCACACCGAGGGGACGACCCAGAAGGGAACCACUGAUGCCAGCCCGACCUCCAACCCCUCUCCAGCAGCAACAUCUGGGAUGCCGGGAGCUGCUGGCCGGUCACCCAUGCCACCAGCGACUGAUGGGCCGUCACUGGAGAAGUCCACGCUGCCAGAGAUUCCCCCACGGCUACAGACAUCCACACCGGGAGAGGGGAUGGCCCCAGGGUCAUCUCUGGGGACAACCCCGCUGCCCACCGCCCCCACGGACCAUGCUGCAGUCUCCAUCCAGACCCUGGCCUCUUCCAUUGGGCUCCCGGUGCUGGUGGUCGCCGGUAUUGUGGCCUGCUGCUGCUGGAGGAUGA
rnacentral:lncRNA from 1 species